rnacentral:rRNA from 1 species
AUAGCCAUAAACAUAAAUAAAUAUAUUAACAAAUUUAUUCGCCUGAGGACUACAAGCAACCGCUAGAAACUCAAAGGACUUGGCGGUGCUUUAUAUCCAUCUAGAGGAGCCUGUUCCGCAAUCGAUAAACCCCGAUACACCUUACCACUUCUUGUUAAUUCAGCCUGUAUACCGCCAUCUUCAGCUAACCCUAAAAAGGAACAUUAGUAAGCAAAAACAUUAUAAAUUAAUAAAAAAGUUAGGUCAAGGUGUAGCCAAUGAAGUGGAGAGCAAUGGGCUACAUUUUCUAAUACAAGAACAUUACGAAAUUCUCUCUGAAACACAGAGAACGAAGGAGGAUUUAGUAGUAAGUUAAAAAUAGAGAGUUUAACUGAAUAGAGCAAUGAA